rnacentral:sRNA from 1 species
GCCAGGUGUGGUGGCGCACACCUGUAAUCCCAGUGGCUCAAGAGGCUGAGGCAGGAGAAUCAUGAAUUCAAAGCCAGCCUCAAAAAAGUGAGGCACUAAGCAACUCAAUGAGACCCUGUCCCUA